CGUAGGGUGCGAGCGUUGUCCGGAUUUACUGGGCGUAAAGAGCGCGCAGGCGGUCGUUCAAGUGGCGUGUGAAAGCCCCCGGCUCAACUGGGGAGGGUCACGCGAUACUGUUCGACUCGAAGGCAGGAGAGGGAAGCGGAAUUCCCGGUGUAGUGGUGAAAUGCGUAGAUAUCGGGAGGAACACCAGUGGCGAAGGCGGCUUCCUGGCCUGUUCUUGACGCUGAGGCGCGAAAGCUAGGGUAGCAAACGGG
rnacentral:rRNA from 1 species